rnacentral:lncRNA from 1 species
AAAAUAUAUUAUUAACAAUUAAAAAAAGUAAAAGAAUAAAUGAAAAAAUAAAUAGGAAAAAAUAGACGGUAGGUUCGAUAUCUCUUCUUAUUAUAAGUCUUUACUCAUCUAAAUAAAUAAAAAAGAAAUAGAAAGAUCGUGUUUUCGACUCUCUUGUGAUUCUGAAGCAUUAGAUUGAUAUAUGAUGUCUCCCUCGUGAUUCUGAAGCAUUAGUUUCAUUAGUGCUUUC